GGGGCGGUGGCGGAAUGGUAGACGCCGGGGACUUAAAAUCCUCUGGGCUCGCGCCCGUGCGGGUUCGACUCCCGCCCGCCCUACCA
rnacentral:tRNA from 1 species